GCAGCACGGGGCAACCUGGUGGCGAGUGGCGAACGGGUGAGUAAUAUAUCGGAACAUGUCCGGAAGUGGGGGAUAACGUAGCGAAAGUUACGCUAAUACCGCAUAUGCCCUAAGGGGGAAAGGGGGGGAUCGCAAGACCUCUCGCUUUCGGAGUGGCCGAUAUCAGAUGAGCUAGUUGGUGGGGUAAAGGCCUACCAAGGCAACGAUCUGUAGCUGGUCUGAGAGGACGACCAGCCACACUGGGACUGAGACACGGCCCAGACUCCUACGGGAGGCAGCAGUGGGGAAUUUUGGACAAUGGGGGAAACCCUGAUCCAGCCAUGCCGCGUGAGUGAAGAAGGCCUUCGGGUUGUAAAGCUCUUUCAGCCGGAAAGAAAUCGCACUGGAUAAUACCUUGUGUGGAUGACGGUACCGGAAGAAGAAGCACCGGCUAACUACGUGCCAGCAGCCGCGGUAAUACGUAGGGUGCGAGCGUUAAUCGGAAUUACUGGGCGUAAAGCGUGCGCAGGCGGUUUUGUAAGACAGAUGUGAAAUCCCCGGGCUUAACCUGGGAACUGCAUUUGUGACUGCAAGACUAGAGUACGGCAGAGGGGGGUAGAAUUCCACGUGUAGCAGUGAAAUGCGUAGAUAUGUGGAGGAAUACCGAUGGCGAAGGCAGCCCCCUGGGUCGAUACUGA
rnacentral:rRNA from 1 species